rnacentral:rRNA from 1 species
AUGGUGAUCAAGACCCAAAAUGGACAAGUUCUGAAAAAAGACAAGGAGGUCAUUGCUAGCCUACUCGAUACAACCGUAAGAACUGUUGAGAGAAUAUGGGAAAGAGCUCUUAAACAGAUUGAAAAAGGGGAGAAAGUUGAUGUCUCAAAUCAAAAGCCAGGUAGAGUUGGCCGCAAGCGGAAAGAUUUGGAUCUGUCAAGGGUGAUGACAAUCCCAUUGAAUAGAAGGAGAACAUUGCGAGGUCUGUCAAAGGCAUUGGGUGUAAGCUGCACGACCUUACACUCAAGGUUCGAGUGGGGUAAUUUGAGGCGUCAUAGUAAUAAGUUGAGGCCCCACUUAAACCUAUCCAACAUUGUAAAGAGAUUGAAAUGGUGCUUGGCUAUGUGUGAAGAUUAUUGGUCUGCGACACGGAAAUUAGACAACAUAACCUACAUGGAUGAAAAGUGGUUCAACAUGACUGGGGAGGUGAACAACUACUAUUUGCUUCCUGAAGAACCCGACCCCGCGCACCUUGCAUCAUAA